rnacentral:lncRNA from 1 species
GACACCGGCGAGGAGCUUGUGCUUGAGCUUGAGGAGGACGGAGCUGACAGCACGGAGGUGCCGGGCUACGAGGACUACUACGAGGAGGACCCUGCGAGCCAAGAACGGUUCGGCCCCGCUGAGAGGGAGGAGAUGGUGAUCCAGGCUCCCCAGGUAACGCUGGGGACAAGGACUGGGACCCCCCCCCAGCUAUGACCCAGCUCAUGGGGCCACUGUACAGAGUCCAGGGGCCACCUAGGCAAUUUGGAGCCCUUCCCCCCAACCCAGCUCUUGACUAUUUUCUUCUCAUCAUGGUGUUUUUCAGGAACCCAGCUUGAAGGGGGAGAAGGGCGAGCCAGCCAUCGUGGAGCCGGUGAGUGGGGCACGGCCCCCCCCUUGGGGACACGUGGCACCCCCAGGGCCACCCAUCUGAGACGGUUCACAGGACGGGGCUUGCUCUUUUUCUUCAGGGCCGGCGAUUUGAGGGGCCACCGGGACCCCCGGGCCCUGUGGUGAGGAACGAGGGGCUGCUGUGGGGAAGGGGUUGGAGUUGACAAAGCCUUAACGUGCCUCUCUCUUCUCCUCAGGGAGAAACAGGUCCCCUGGGACCACCGGGGCUCCCAGGGCUUCCCGGGGACCCUGGAGAUCAGGUACGGAGCAGAUUUGGGGGAGGGUUGUGAUGGGGCCAGAGCUGCCCCACGGCAGGGUUUGGGGCUGCAGGCGUCCCGGCGGGUCCUGCNGGGACCCUCAGGGACCCUCCUGCCUGCUCCCCACGGAGCUCUCUAGGUGACACCGAGCUGGCUGUCCCCAAGGCCGGGGGCCAGUGGCUCCCCCCAUCCCUCACCCUCCUCCUUCUCCCAGUUCCAGUUUGGUGGAGACUCCCUCAAAGGUCCCACUGUCUCUUUCCAAGAAGCCCAAGCCCAAGCCAUCCUGCAGCAGGCGAAGCUCGCCAUGAAGGGUCCCCCAGGUCCCAUGGGGCUCACCGGCCGCCCAGGACCAUUGGGUCUUCCUGGACACCCAGGCCUGAAAGGAGACGUGGGGGACACGGGGCCACGCGGUCCCCGGGGAAUGCAGGGACCUCCAGGGCCGCCGGGGAAGCUGGGCAGGCGGGUAAGCGCUGGGGGGGGGGUUGGGUUUUGCCUCCCCCAAAUGUCCUUGUCCUCUGUCACGUGCCAGGGUGACAUUCCAUCCUCAUCCCGAGGGGCUCCGAGCCUCGGGCCCCUUCCCCACCCCCUUGACUUGUCUUCCAGGGUCGUGCUGGAGCGGACGGUGCCAGGGGUCUCCCGGGGGAAACCGGACCCAAGGUGUCACCCGUGGGGGGGUUAUUGGUGCUGCUGGGGGGGCCGGCAUUGGGGUGAGGGGCCAGGACCCCCAGGUUGUGACACUUGUCCUACCCCACAGGGUGACAGGGGCUUCGACGGGCUGCCGGGGCUACCGGGCGAGAAGGGCCACAGGGUAAGCGUGACGGCGCCGUGUCCCCUCCUGCCACCGCUGUCCCCAUGCCACCUCACCCUCUCUCCUCUGCAGGGUGACGUGGGGAAGCCAGGACCAGCGGGUCCCCCCGGGGAGAAAGGGAUCAAGGUGAGGAGCGUGGGGAGGGAUGGGGAAGGAUCGGGCCCCGCUGGUGUUGGAGGGAGGUGCUCAGCUCCCCUCUCUCCUCUCCAGGGCUCCGACGGUCUCCCGGGACCUCGGGGACAACCCGGGGAACCCGUAAGUACCUGCUGCCGGCACCGGGAGCCUGGUCCGGCUUCUCCCCCAGCCCCAGGAGCCGGGGGGGGCGGGGGGGCAAGUUUGGCCACCGGUUUUCUCCCUGUGGCUUUUUGGAGGAGGGAUUUGGGCACCGGACUCCCCGCCCCCGGGGAAUAUGGGGUUCUGGGGUCAGUGCUGCCAUUUGAGCCCCCUCUUCUGUCCUUGGCCCUAGGGUACGCGAGGUCUCAUGGGCUCACGGGGCUCUCCUGGCCCCCCCGGACCACCGGUAUGAGACACCGCUCCUGUCUGUCUGUCUAUCUGUCUGUCUGACUGUCCCCAGCUUGGGACAAGAAGCUUUUUCUCUGUCACCCCUCAGCCCGGGCAGGGCAUCGUCCUUGGUGCGGUGGCACCUUGGGGUGUGACAUCGCCCUGACCCUCCCUCCUUCCCCCGCAGGGUGCCAGCGGCAUCGACGGAGCACCAGGGCCCAAGGGCAACGUGGUGGGUGUCAGUGGGAGCCCCCCCCUGGGGAGCACCCACCCCGAAUUAGCCACUUAGAGACCGGGAUGGUCCAGGGAGGGGGAGGCAGGACUGGGGCGAGAGCUGCCCCGUGCUCUUGGGGGGGUGCGUGGGGCAGGAGGGUGCACCACGGGGGGCAGCGAGGGUGGGGGUGGCACAUCCUGGGGUCUGAGAAGGUCUUUUUAUGCACUAAUGGAUUUUCCUUGCCUCCCCCCUUCCCGCCCCCCAGGGAAUCCCCGGGGAGCCAGGACCCCCGGGACAGCAAGGGAACCCUGGUCCGCAGGUACGUGGAGGUGACGGGGGUGUCCCCGUGGGGCUGGGGGCUGGGGUGCUCCCUCAGUCCCUCCUCAGCCCCCCAUGUCUUCUCUCGUAGGGUCUGCCCGGCCCCCAGGGCCCCGUCGGGCUGCCGGGGGAGAAGGUGAGUCAGGAUCUACCAGGAAUGGGGGAGUCCGGAGCUGCCCCAGCUCUGAGUGGGUGAUGGGGAGCCACAGGGGUGACCCCAGUCCCUCUGUGUCCCCACACGUCCUCCUCUCGCCCAGGGCCCACCGGGAAAACCGGGAAUACAGGGUGUUGCUGGGGCCGACGGGCCCCCGGUGAGUACCAGGGGGGGGGUCUGCGGGGUCACUCCUGUCCCCGGCAGAGUGGGGACUCCAGUGUCACCAUCCCAGCUCAGGGCUCACCUCUUGAUUGUCCCCACAGGGUCACCCUGGCCGAGAAGGGCCAGCUGGAGAGAAGGGCCUCCAGGUAAGGGGCUGACAACACCCCCCCACCCCUGCCCCAUGCCCUGGGUGGGGAAAAAGGGUCCUCUUUCCA